AAUAUAUGGAUGAUAUUUCCUAAAAUGAAAUAGUUUAAUAGCUUUUGGGAGGAGGUUCGACACACAUACAGAUCUUCACACACAGUAAGAUAUUAUCCGUUUUGGGCCAAACUGUAACAUCUUUUUUUUUUUUUUUCUUUUUAAUGACAGAUCAUUUUACUCUAAGCAGAAAACUUAGAGGAACAUCCCUAUAAUUUUAUACCGGGAAAUAAAAC
rnacentral:lncRNA from 1 species